CCUACGGGAGGCAGCAGUGAGGGAUAUUGGUCAAUGGGGGAAACCCUGAACCAGCAACGCCGCGUGAGGGAAGACGGUUUUCGGAUUGUACACCUCUGUCCUUUGUGAAGAUAAUUACGGUAGCAGAGGAUUAAUCUCCGGCUAACUACGUGCCAGCAGCCGCGGUAAUACGUAGGGAGCAAGCGUUGUCCGGAUUUACUGGGUGUAAAGGGUGCGUAGGCGGCUUGUCAAGUCAGAAGUGAAAUCCAUGGGCUUAACCCGUGAACUGCUAUUGAAACUGUAGGGCUUGAGUGAAGUAGAGGCGGGCGGAAUUCGCGGUGUAGCGGUGAAAUGCGUAGAGAUCGGGAGGAACACCAGUGGCGAAGGCAGCCUGCUAGGCUUUCACUGACGCUGAAGCACGAAAGCGUGGGUAGCAAACAGGAUUAGAUACCCGAGUAGUC
rnacentral:rRNA from 1 species